rnacentral:rRNA from 1 species
GAUGAACGCUGGCGGCGUGCCUAAUACAUGCAAGUCGAGCGAACGGACGAGAAGCUUGCUUCUCUGAUGUUAGCGGCGGACGGGUGAGUAACACGUGGAUAACCUACCUAUAAGACUGGGAUAACUUCGGGAAACCGGAGCUAAUACCGGAUAAUAUUUUGAACCGCAUGGUUCAAAAGUGAAAGACGGUCUUGCUGUCACUUAUAGAUGGAUCCGCGCUGCAUUAGCUAGUUGGUAAGGUAACGGCUUACCAAGGCGACGAUGCAUAGCCGACCUGAGAGGAGGAGCAGCCACACUGGAAAUGAGACACGGUCCAGACUCCUACGGGAGGGAGCAGUGGGGAAUAUGGGACAAUGGGCGCAAGCCUGAUACAGCCAUACCGCGGGGGGGAAGAAGGCCUUCGGGUUGUAAAGCCCUUUUGUUGGGAAAGAAAAGAAGCAGGUUAAUACCCCGCUGUUCUGACGGUACCCAAAGAAUAAGCACCGGCUAACUUCGUG